ACCAACACUGAUGUACAAAUUCUCGACGAGGUUUCAAAGGUAGAUGCUGGCACUUCAAAUUUGGAUUCAUUCUUUCAUCCAUUCGCGGGCGAUGAUGCAGAUAUGAGUCGGUCUCAAGCUGAAGAGUAUUUCAAGGAUAGCAUAUUAGAAGGUGAAGAAUCGGAAGAACAAAACUGUUCUUCCGAGGAGGAUUAUGAUGUUGUGCUCAUCUAAAGACCACCAGCUAUGAAAUGAAAUUAUAAUUUUUUAAUAUUUUUAGACCAUGUAUCAUAUGCAGCAAUUAAUUUAAUCAUUCAAUGUAAAUAGAAACAUUUUUAAGACAACUUCAUUUUUACACUGUAAAUAUUCCCACACAAUAGAUAUGUCUGCAGAUGGCAAUAGGGCAAUGAAUGUAUUUGCUUGAUAAUACUGUUGACAUAGAAAAUGAAGAAACAUUCUCAUCAUAAACAAAA